CAGCAGCCGCGGGAAAACAGAGGGUGCGAGCGUUAAUCGGAUUUACUGGGCGUAAAGCGUGCGUAGGCGGCUUUUUAAGUCGGAUGUGAAAUCCCUGAGCUUAACUUAGGAAUUGCAUUCGAUACUGGGAAGCUAGAGUAUGGGAGAGGAUGGUAGAAUUCCAGGUGUAGCGGUGAAAAGCGUAGAGAUCUGGAGGAAUACCGAUGGCGAAGGCAGCCAUCUGGCCUAAUACUGACGCUGAGGUACGAAAGCAUGGGGAGCAAACAGGAUUAGAGACCCCUGUAGUCCCUGUCUCUUAUAA
rnacentral:rRNA from 1 species